rnacentral:lncRNA from 1 species
AGACUAUUAGGAGUCAGCCUCUCAGCUGUAAAUUGGGAACGUGGAGGCUCUGCCUUCACAGCCUCAGAGUCUUUUGCAUCCAGCAGGAACAAGAAGAAGAAGAAUCAGUAGGUUCCUAAAACUCUGUCCUGGGAGUGACAGACAUCAGUUCUGCUCACCUGACAUUGGCAAGUGUUAGUCAAGCAGACACACAUAUAGGUGAAAAGGAGGCCAGGAAUUAUAGUCCCUGUCUGGGCCACUGCCAGUGACAGGUCAACUCUGGAAAUGAUGGACAGAGGUCAUCUCUGCCACACACCUCAUUUUAUUUGUCAUUGUCACCCAUUAGAAUGUAAGCUCCAUGGAAAAAUGAUCUUUUUCUGCUUCUGUCCCUCUUACAUCUCCAGGAACAAGAACAGGUCUUGGCUGCUGGUAGAUCCUUGAUGAAUAUUUGUUUUUAAUUAUUUUUAAAAGAUCAUGGCUUGGAGGAGGGGAGGGGUUAUUGUCAGUGUGGAAGUGGAGGCUGAAAAGAUAGAGUCAAAUCAUGAAAGACCAUGACUGUGUAUACUUGUAGCCAGAAGGAUCAUGGGCUUCCCUAAAGCACAAAUAUGCCCUGAUCUCAGGCAAAUUGGACUAAAACCAAAGCCAUUUGGCCCCAUUACUUUUUUCCAUGAAACCAUUUGGACAAGAGUUACACAACAGGAAUUUCUCUAUUGCCAUCCUGUGGCUUUGUAGAUAAGCAGCAGUGAAUCAGCCAAAACCCCAAAAUGUAAUUCUGUUUGAUUUAACUGCACUUGUAUAUACAAGGCCUAUGUUUCUCCAUGGGAAAAUUUUACUUUGAUCAGUGGACUGCGUGUUAAGCCUAUGGCAUAAUUCCAGAUGAUUUAUUUGCCUUUUUCCUCUACAUGUUCUCCUAAUUUAAGCUUGACCUGUUAUUACACAGGUAAGUGUGAAGCAUGAAAUAUCAUCAGUGACCCCUGGGUCCAACUGACAUUGGGGGAGGUGACUUCAGUCCUCAAGCCAACCUCUUAGACAUCUACGUAGAUUCUCCUAGGGUCACCAUUUGAUGCCAAACACUGAAUUAUAUGGACUGUAUUUUCAACUCAUAUUGGGUUACUUUGAAAUAUAGAAUGAUCAUGAUAUGUCAGACUAAGAGAAGUACACAUGUAUACUUCAACAUGUUGCCAAAUAUUCAGAUAUUUGGAGAUGUUAUAUAACUGACUGAACACUAAGUUAUGUUGACAUAAUCUUUGUACUUCUGUAUUUUUUAAUUGGUCACAUACCUUAUCUUUGCAUCAUAAAAAUCACUCAUGAGACGUGCCCUUUAAAACAGGUUAUAUAAUAUGAAGGGUCAAACUAUGCAUACAAAGUGUGUAUAUGGUUUAACAAAAUCUCUUAUCAAUACUGGAAAGCGUGUACAUUAUCUGAAGAAAAAUCAGUCCAAAGGACUUGUCAACCAGAAUAACGAGCGUGUGGUGGCAAAUACCUCUCCAAGAAAGAGAAGACUUGGCAAAUGCCUGACAAACACUUCUAACUCUUACUCUGGAGUACUUUUGUUUGAAAGACCAAGAUAUUUUAGGUUCAAUUUAUUUCAUUAAAUAAUUUACAUCUUAGAGCAAAAUUCUUUCUGAAACAUCUAUGUGGACUUUGGAGCCAUCAUAUGAUGUUUACCAUGUAGCUGAAGCGUAAUUACUUCUACACCCCAAAGGCAGGGAUGGAAAUAAUGUGAAGCCCUCUUAUCUGGAAGCCUGGAUAUAACAUGCCAGGAUAUAACAUGUGCUGGUUAAGUGGAGUGAAGCUUUGGUUCAUGACUAUCUAUAUCACACAACUGCUAUAUAAGGGUAGAAUGUGUAAGGGUAUAUUUUUUUCUCCUUUUUUUUUUGGCUGGUAUUUUUUUCUUCAAAAUAUCAAAAAAAAAAUCAUUUAAACUCAGCAAGCUUUUUCUGAGUUAAUUCAUUACAGAGAUACUUGUAUCUCCUUAGAGCUAUGAUGAUCACAACUGCCUUUCCUGAAAACCUAUUGAUAACUUACUUAUUGAUUUUUUCCCUUUAAUAGAAACACUAACAAGUAAUCUGAGCAUCAGGUGGGAGGUGUUUCCUAUCUCUUAGUUUGCUUGGGUAGCCAUAACAAACUACCACCAACGUAGUUGUUUAAACAGAAAUGUAUUGUCUCAUAGUUCUGGUGGCCAGGCUGGAAGUCUGAGAUUAAUGUGUCAGUAGGGUGGUUUCCUUGUGAGGCUGUGAGGGAGGAGCUGUUCCAUGCCACGCCCCUUGUUUCUGGUGGUUGGCUGGCAAUUUUUGGCAUUUCCUUGCUUGAUGGGAUCACCACAAUCUCUGCUUUUAUCUUCAUAUGGUAUUUUCUGUACAUGCUUUUGUGUGCAUCUAAAUUUCUCCUUAUAAGAACGCUAGUCAUAUUCGAUCAGAGGUCCACCCUACUCCAGUGCGACCUCAUCUGAACUAAUUUCAUCUACAAUAAUAUUUCCAAGUGAGGUCACAUCCUGAAGUACUGGGGUUAGGACAUCAGCAUAUAAGUUUUGGGAGGAAACAAUUCACUCCCUAACACUAUCCAAAGCGUGAUCUCAGAGAAAGGAGAGAAGAGGGGGAACAUCUAGCAAGUGAAAUUUAUGUUCUUAAUCCUGCAUAUCUAAACCUGGUUUGGUUUUCCUUGGUGAUCCAUUUUCACCUGAGAAGGCGGAAGAAGAUCCUUCAAGUUUCCCUCCUUCCUUGGACUUGGUUUCUGCUUGCAUUUAAAAAGGAUAAAAAUAUUUACUGCACAUCCUGCUCAGCAAGUGUACAUGGGGAUGAGAUGAAAUAAAGAAUGUUGCUGGAGUUCGCAUCGUGGUGCUGUGGUUAACGAAUCUGACUAGGAACCAUGAGGUUGUGGGUUCGAUCCCUGGCCUUGCUCAGUGGGUCAAGGAUCCGGCAUUGCCAUGAGCUGUGGUGUAGGUUGCAGAUUUGGCUCGGAUCCCGCGUUACUGUGGCUCUGGCGUAGGCCGGCGGCUACAGCUCCUAUUAGACCCCUAGCCUGGGAACCUCCAUAUGCCGCGGAAAGCAGCCCUAGAAAAGGCAAAAAGAUGAAAAAAAAAA